GAUGAACGCUGGCGGCGUGCCUAAUACAUGCAAGUCGAACGAGUGGCGGACGGGUGAGUAAUGUCUGGGAAACUGCCUGAUGGAGGGGGAUAACUACUGGACACGGUAGCUAAUACCGCAUACCAUCGGAUGUGCCCAGAUGGGAUUAGCUAGUAGGUGGGGUAAAGGCUCACCUAGGCGACGAUCCCUAGCUGGUCUGAGAGGAUGACCAGCCACACUGGAACGGUGACACGGUCCAGACUCCUACGGCAGGCAGCAGUGGGGAAUAUUGCACAAUGGGCGCAAGCCUGAGGCAGCCAGGCCGCGUGUAUGAAGAAGGCCUUCGGGUUGUAAAGUACUUUCAGCGGGGAGGCGUUACCCGCAGAAGAAGCACCGGCUAACUCCGUGCCAGCAGCCGCGGUAAUUC
rnacentral:rRNA from 1 species